ensembl:lncRNA
AAAAAUUAUUUGAUUAAUUGAUUUGUGAUCGCUUCAGUGCCUUUUUAAAACUCAUUUGAAACGGCCGCAAGCUGCGUCAAGUUUCGGCUCCUCCCCUGAUCUGAGUCUGCAUGGAUUCAGCGCGUUUUUCAAUCCGCAGGGCGCCGAGCAGAGCGAACAUCAGAGAGUACAAGUAGUUUGUGUUGGUCCUGAUGGAAGUAACAGCUGCUGAAACUGCCACGUUCCUCCAGUGGACUUCUGAAGAAGGAAGAAAAGAAUAAGGAGGAUCUUGUGGAACGAUUUGAUAGACACUGAGUAGUUUGUGUUGGUCCUGAUGGAAGUAACAGCUGCUGAAACUGCCACGUUCCUCCAGUGGACUUCUGAAGAAGGAAGAAAAGAAUAAGGAGGAUCUUGUGGAAUGAUUUGAUAGACACUGAGGUGAGAAGAAAGAGGAUAGAGACAAUUACGAGUAAUUCACAGAACCUUUCAAAAAGUAAUUUUGUCAACUGUUGUAAAGAACAACUAUUAUUGUUCCAAACAUCAAUUAAAUUACUCUGAAAACAAUUUUGGCCUGCAUGGAAGAAAAUUAAAAAGCCAGGGAAACUAGCUAAAGCAGAGCAGGACGUGAAGAGAAAG